rnacentral:rRNA from 1 species
GUGUCAGCCGCCGCGGUAAUACGGAGGAUCCAAGCGUUAUCCGGAAUCAUUGGGUUUAAAGGGUCCGUAGGUGGAUAAUUAAGUCAGAGGUGAAAUCCUGCAGCUUAACUGUAGAAUUGCCUUUGAUACUGGUUGUCUUGAGUUAUUAUGAAGUGGUUAGAAUAUGUAGUGUAGCGGUGAAAUGCAUAGAUAUUACAUAGAAUACCAAUUGCGAAGGCAGAUCACUAAUAAUAUACUGACACUGAUGGACGAAAGCGUGGGGAGCGAACAGGAUUAGAUACCCUGGUAGUCCACGCCGUAAACGAUGGUCACUAGCUGUUCGGGUUUCGAUCUGAGUGGCUAAGCGAAAGUGAUAAGUGACCCACCUGGGGAGUACGUUCGCAAGAAUGAAACUUAAAUGAAUUGGCGGGG